CCUACGGGCGGCAGCAGUGAGGAAUAUUGGGCAAUGCCCGCAAGGGUGACCCAGCAACGCCGCGUGGAGGAUGAAGGCCGUAAGGUUGUAAACUCCUGUUAGAGGAGAAGAAUAGUACCGAUUGGAUCGGUAUUUGACUGUACCCUCAGAGAAAGCCCCGGCUAACUACGUUCCAGCAGCCGCGGGAAUACGUAGGGGGCAAGCGUUGUCCGGUGUUACGGGGUGGCAGGGGCGAUAGCGAGGGAGAGGUGAAAUCCUACAGCUUAACUGUAGAACUGCCUUUGAUACUGUUAUUCUUGAGUUCGGGAGAGAGAGACGGAAUUCCAGGUGUAGUGGUGAAAUACGUAGAUAUCUGGAAGAACACCAGUUGCGAAGGCGGUCUCUUGGUCCGAUACUGACGCUGAGGCGCGAAAGCGUGGGGAGCAAACAGGAUUAGAUACCCCAGUAGUC
rnacentral:rRNA from 1 species